GAAUCCAAUGCCCCGAAAACCCAAGGUUUCCUCCGCAAGGUUCGUCCACGGAGGGUGAGUCAGGGCCUAAGAUCAGGCCGAAAGGCGUAGUCGAUGGACAACAGGUCAAUAUUCCUGUACUACCCCUUGUUGGUACGGAGGGACGGAGGAGGCUAUGUUAGCCGAAAGAUGGUUAUAGGUUUAAGGACACAAGGUGACCCUGCUUUUUCAAGGGUAAGAAGGGGGUAGGAGAAAAAUGCCUCGAGCCGAGGU
rnacentral:ncRNA from 1 species